CAGCAGGAGGCAGAACUGCUGCGAGAAGAAGACCCAGGAGAUCUCGGGCAGCGAGCUGCGCGUCUGGCAGCGCAGGUCCAGCAGCGUGGGCCCCAGGAAGGCGAUGCACAGGCCGAAGCUGAAGAAGACGCUCCAGUAGUUUGACCUGAGGCCAGACUUUGGUGGAGGUAAUGGCAGUAAUGGUGACCUGCUUCCAGAGGACUUAGGCCGGCACACGGAGCCUCCCACGACUGCUGUGCUCAGUGCCCUGAGCCCACAGAAGGCCGCGGUCAACCCACACCUCCAUCAGAGACUCUGGACACUCACAGAGUACAUCAUGUGAAAUGCCAAGCUGCAUGAAGCACAAGCUGGAAUCAAGAUUGCUGGGAG